rnacentral:rRNA from 1 species
CCUACGGGAGGCAGCAGUGGGGAAUAUUGCGCAAUGGACGAAAGUCUGACGCAGCAACGCCGCGUGAGGGAUGACGGCCUUCGGGUUGUAAACCUCUUUCAGCAGGGACGAAGCGAGAGUGACGGUACCUGCAGAAGAAGGACCGGCCAACUACGUGCCAGCAGCCGCGGUAAUACGUAGGGUCCGAGCGUUGUCCGGAAUUAUUGGGCGUAAAGGGCUCGUAGGCGGUUCGUCACGUCGGGAGUGAAAACUCGGAGCUUAACUCCGAGCCUGCUUCCGAUACGGGCAGACUAGAGGUAGGCAGGGGAGAGCGGAACUCCUGGUGUAGCGGUGGAAUGCGCAGAUAUCAGGAAGAACACCGGUGGCGAAGGCGGCUCUCUGGGCCUUACCUGACGCUGAGGAGCGAAAGCGUGGGUAGCGAACAGGAUUAGAUACCCUGGUAGUCCACGCCGUAAACGUUGGGCGCUAGGUGUGGGGGUACGACUCCACGUCCUCCGUGCCGCAGCUAACGCAUUAAGCGCCCGCCUGGGAGUACGGCCGCAGGCUAAACUCAAUGAAUUGACGG